UAGGUGGGGGCAGUAAGCCAGAAUUUUCAUAUUGGUUAUUUUCCCUGCAGGCUGGCAGUGCUAGACAAUCAGCCACUCCUCUUUUACAAAGGUUCAUUUUUAUUACAGGUACUUUACCUGACUUAGAGGGGAAAUAAUAAACCUCCAAAAUUGGGCUUGAAUCACAUGUAAUGGAAAAUGAUUCCGUUGUUUCUAAGAUAUAAUAUGAAACGUCUACUAGAAUGAACUCUGGCCUUAUUUGUAUUGUGUAGCCCAAAACUGUAAUGGAAGAUUAUAGUUCCAAAGGGUCUCCAUGCAUAAGAUAAUACAGGAUGUGAUAAAAGACAAAAAUUCCUGUUGCUGUUGGUAUUGUGAGUGAUAUACGUAUAUGUGUGUAAGCAUACACAUAUUUUGAACCAAUGCUUAUUUUGUCCUCCCUUCU